rnacentral:rRNA from 1 species
UGGGGAAUUUUGGACAAUGGGCGCAAGCCUGAUCCAGCCAUGCCGCGUGUGGGAAGAAGGCCUUCGGGUUGUAAACCACUUUUGUCAGGGAAGAAACGGCCUGAUCUAAUACAUUGGGUUAAUGACGGUACCUGAAGAAUAAGCACCGGCUAACUACGUGCCAGCAGCCGCGGUAAUACGUAGGGUGCGAGCGUUAAUCGGAAUUACUGGGCGUAAAGCGUGCGCAGGCGGCUUUGCAAGACAGAUGUGAAGUCCCCGGGCUCAACCUGGGAACUGCAUUUGUGACUGCAAGGCUAGAGUACGGUAGAGGGGGAUGGAAUUCCGCGUGUAGCAGUGAAAUGCGUAGAUAUGCGGAGGAACACCGAUGGCGAAGGCAAUCCCCUGGACCUGUACUGACGCUCAUGCACGAAAGCGUGGGGAGCAAACAGGAUUAGAUACCCCCGUAGUCCCUGAG